CAACAUCAGUGUUGUUGUCUGCUGUUCAGUGUCAUCAUGUCUUACUUAGAUGAACAUGGAGGGCAUCACGAGGAAGAAGAUGAGGAGC